UGUCCUUAGUACGAGAGGACCGGGAUGGACGCACCGCUGGUGUACCAGUUGUUCUGCCAAGGGCAUCGCUGGGUAGCUAUGUGCGGACGGGAUAAGUGCUGAAAGCAUCUAAGCAUGAAGCCCCCCUCAAGAUGAGAUUUCCCAUUCCGCAAGGAAGUAAGAUCCCUGAAAGAUGAUCAGGUUGAUAGGUCUGAGGUGGAAGCGUGGUGACACGUGGAGCUGACAGAUACUAAUAGAUCGAGGACUUAACCUAU
rnacentral:rRNA from 1 species